CUUAUCCCGUAAACAGUCGCCUCUUAACACAGUCGACGGUUGUUGUGCCCACAGGCCUGUUUCCCCGCGCUGCUCGCCCGCCCUGCCAUAUUUUAAACUAUCACGUCGAGGCUUGAAGCUCAAAUCUGUUCAAGCAGCGUUUUUCCAUCCGCAUCACGCCCCUGAUUGUGCUUCUCCGGCCACCGCUGUGUUUGUUGCCUGCCUCCCGCCCUCCUCCUCCUCCUCCGUAUUAGGUCUCCUGCUUCACGACCCUUUGCUGUUACGAAGGGAAAGAAGAAUGGACACGACACCUCAAGCCUCAACACUGCAUGGUGGAGGAAGACAUGGAUGCCCUUAUGACCAAACCAAACUGGGAGGAUCUUACAGACAUUCAGGAGAGUAAUUUCACCACCACCACCACCACCACCACUACCCACACAAAUAUAUCCGUCAUACUAAUGCAAAAAAGUUAACCAGUAUACUCUCACUCAUUCAUCCAUCUCACUGGCAUACACUUUAGAAGCCUCCCUGAUAUUGUUUUCCUAUACGAGAUGUCAUUUAUUACCAACUCAAAAAACAACGUCACCUUCUAAACUGUUUUCACCUCCUAGUUGCACAUAAUUCCCUUCCCGUUACUAAUUUUUCUUGACACACUUACGCCACGCUAUUCCUAACAGAGAGAAUGAAUGUUGAAUAUAGUCAUAAGCCCAGUUACUUAUACGCCAUGCUAUUACUUAUAACAGAGAAAAUGAAUGUUGGAUGUAGUCAUUAGCCCACAGAAAGGGUUCACAAAAAGCUCGAAGGGAAAAAGAUAUGAAAUUGGGUCGUAUUUUAAAACAUUUCGUCGCCCAAGUUCACAUAUUUGGCAAGGCUUUCGCAGGAGUUUUGAACAUUUCCAGGGGUAGUUAUAUAACCCUGAUGGUAGCUUGACCCUUCUUCAGUAGCAUGAACCUAACAAAACACUCAUUAGAACCUGACUGACCCCCUCUUUGACCUUUAGAAAUAGCUGAUGUGAGAACCCAAAGUGCCUUAUAAUACCGGCCAUUGUUAGAACCGAUGCUAAAGGAAAGAAUAUUGUUAGAACUGAUACGAAGGGAAUGGAUUAGAGUUUAUAAUAUGGGUUUUAGGAUAUUUCAUGGAGUGUUGCUAUCCACCUUAAGCUAACAAAUCUCUUCUCAAGGUAAAUUUAAUCAUGUCAGGCGUCAUCCUCAGUGUCUUGGUCUUUUUAAUGGCGCAGCGUGUUUUGGUCAUUUUUCCUUCACCCUGUUUAUCCCUCGGAGCGUCUGAUGAACCACAAAAAGAAACGGCCUUGUAAAAUUCUUCACUUCCCUUGUACUUUUUUUUUUUUAGGAGCAGCAUGUCGCGAGCGUUUCUUUUCGUCCUUUCCUUUCCCUCUCGAUCUGCCACCUUUUCCACACACACACACACACACACACACACACACACACACACCUAUACACGCCCUGCACAACACAGCCUCGCCAGCCAUUACGACGCCAACGCACAGUCGCCAUCGUAUCUCCGGCGCUGAAUAUUCAUCGAGUAAUUGGAAGGAUUAUAUAGAUGGACAAUGGAGGAAUAGAAUCGUUCGGGCGGGGAUCACGGAACUGCCAACCCCGCAUCCGUCUUCAGAAGAACGAGGAAGCAGUCGCAUGAGGAUUAUCCACAACAUGUCCUCGAUGGAAUUCAAUGACAGAAGGACUAAGCGAAGGGAAUCCAGUGUCACCAUGCAGCCUUCCAAGCCCCAACAAAAUCCCUAACUUGGCCCAUCACGGCAGCCACAACUCAAGAACACGAAGAAAGAAAUCGGCGCACGGCAUUAGGCGCAGCAGAUACACGCCGCCGCGAUGUAUAGAUUCGCACUUUGCAGGGAAAAACGCCGCAACUUUCCGGAUUAUGUUGACCUUUUGUUGGCCACACGCUGCGUUCGUCUGGACAGUUCGCGCGGGAAAGUCACUCCGGCUAAGGUUGUGGUAAACUUUGUCGCGGUUUUUAUUUCGCACGGAACAUUAGCCCAAAAAGUUGGUUCCUUGCUGGUGGUCUGGAGUGGCAAGGAAAGUGGAGGUGGUGGCGGCGGUGCUGGUGAUGCAGUGGUGAUG